AACAUGCUCUGUACCGUAAGAUGACCGCAUUAGUCAGUGCUUGUGGUUUAUUUCUGAAGUCAUUGUCGAUAACAGAAGAUAGCAGU